rnacentral:rRNA from 1 species
GACGAACGCUGGCGGCGUGCUUAACACAUGCAAGUCGAACGGUAAGGCCCUUCGGGGUACACGAGUGGCGAACGGGUGAGUAACACGUGGGUGAUCUGCCCUGCACUUUGGGAUAAGCCUGGGAAACUGGGUCUAAUACCGAAUAUGACCAUGGACUUCACGGUUUGUGGUGGAAAGCUUUUGCGGUGUGGGAUGGGCCCACGGCCUAUCAGCUUGUUGGUGGGGUAAUGGCCUACCAAGGCGACGACGGGUAGCCGGCCUGAGAGGGUGACCGGCCACACUGGGACUGAGAUACGGCCCAGACUCCUACGGGAGGCAGCAGUGGGGAAGUAA